rnacentral:tRNA from 4 species
GCGAGAUUAGUUUAAUGGUUAAAACACCUACUUUACACGUAGGGGCUAGUAGUUCGAUUCUACUAUCUUGUA